rnacentral:rRNA from 1 species
CAAUAGCGUAUAUUAAAGUUGUUGCAGUUAAAAAGCUCGUAGUUGGAUUUCUGAAUUGAAUAUCCGGUCCGCUCGUCUCUGAUGAGUGCGUACUUAUGGAUAUUGGAUUCAUUUUUUGUGAGGACAUUUAUCUGUCAUUAAGUUGAUGGAUUUAUAGACUUGCAUCGUUUACUGUGAAAAAAUUAGAGUGUUUAAAGCAGGCGUUCGCCCAUUUGAAUACAUUAGCAUGGAAUAAUAAGAUAUGACUUUGGUGGUCUAUUUUGUUGGUUUGCACAUCAGAGUAAUGAUUAAUAGGGACAGUUGGGGGUAUUCAUAUUUCAACGUCAGAGGUGAAAUUCUUAGAUCGUUGAAAGAUGACCUUAGGCGAAAGCAUUUACCAUGGAUGUUUUCAUUAA